rnacentral:lncRNA from 1 species
AUGGAAAAAAACAGACUCUGCCUCUCUCUGAGUAGUGGCAGAACGGUGUAUAUGGUGAGAAACCAAAGGCUUACUGUGGAUUCCCUGUCAGAAACUUCACCUCAGAAAAAAAGUGGGAGAAGGCAGCAAUAUACCUAAAGUGCAAUGUACACAGAAUAUUCACUUCAUAGCUUCAGAGGAAAAAAACAAAGCCCCAACACUAUACCAAAAACAUGAAGAGGAACAUUUCCUUCAUGACUGACAGAGCAUUCAUGUGAGCAGAACACAAAUGAAAGCAUAUUGGAGAUACCAUUUUUGAGACACUGUAACACUGUAAGUGC